GCUGUUUCAUCACUGGUUGGGUUGGCAUGGACAAACUCAAUGAAAGUCAGGCCAAGUCCACCACUGUGGGCACUGAUGGGAAUUCGUAGAGAGGGUUUUGUGCCUGCUGCUCUGCUGCCACUAACACUCACUAUGAUACCUUUUCUUGGACCUCUGACCCAGCUGCCAACUGAGAGCCCAAGAGGACUUUUUCAUGAUGUCAAAGCAGGC